UUCAACAUUUUCAUAAAUGAUUUAGAUGAAGAGAGAGAAGGGUUCUCACCAAAUCUGCAGAUGGCACAAAGCUGGGGAAGAUUGUUAACCCUUCUGAAGACAGCCACAAGUUUCGAAAGGAUCUUGACAGAUUGGAACAUUGGCCCCUAUUCAGGCUCUCACAAGGAAGAAGAUAUUGAUUUAUGUUCCAUAGCUCCUGAGGAUAGGACAAGAACCAAUGGAUAGAACCUUUACAGAGGGAGAUUGAAACUCAAAACAAGGAGAAAUUUCCUGGCUCUGAGAGCCAUUAGGCAGUGGAACAACCUGCUCCCUGUAGUUGUGCUGCAUCUCUGCACAAUACUCCUUUGAAUGAGGUUUCGAUGGUACAGCCUGGGAGAUACCAGAAUCUUCUUCAGAAGUCUGCAGUAGCUCUGCCUGAUUCUGGCCAAUUACAGUUUCCAAAUCAUCUCCAAAGGCUG